rnacentral:rRNA from 1 species
GCCUUACACAUGCAAGUCGAACGGUAACAGGUCUUCGGACGCUGACGAGUGGCGAACGGGUGAGUAAUACAUCGGAACGUGCCCAGUCGUGGGGGAUAACUACUCGAAAGAGUAGCUAAUACCGCAUACGAUCUGAGGAUGAAAGCGGGGGACCUUCGGGCCUCGCGCGAUUGGAGCGGCCGAUGGCAGAUUAGGUAGUUGGUGGGAUAAAAGCUUACCAAGCCGACGAUCUGUAGCUGGUCUGAGAGGACGACCAGCCACACUGGGACUGAGACACGGCCCAGACUCCUACGGGAGGCAGCAGUGGGGAAUUUUGGACAAUGGGCGAAAGCCUGAUCCNNCAAUGCAGCGUGCNGGAUGAAGGCCUUCGGGUUGUAAACUGCUUUUGUACGGAACGAAAAAGCUUCUCCUAAUACG